UCUCCAGCUGGUUUUGGAAUACAGUUCCCAUCAUCCCUGACCACUGGUCUUCUGGUUAGAUAGGGAUGAUGGGAGCUGUAGUCCAAAAACAGCUAGAGA